AGGAUCAACGCUGGCGGCGUGCCUAAUGCAUGCAAGUCGAACGCGCUUCUCUUCGGAGGAGUGGCGUGGCGGACGGGUGAGGAACACGUGGGCAACCUGCCCGAAGGUGGGGGGUAGCCCGCGGAAACGCGGGGUAAUUCCCCAUGUGCUUGCCGGACCGUGGGUCUGGUAAGGAAAGUCCGCAAGGGCGCCUUCGGAGGGGCCUGCGGCCGAUUAGCUAGUUGGUGGGGUAACGGCCUACCAAGGCGGUGAUCGGUAGCUGGUCUGAGAGGACGGCCAGCCACACAGGGACUGAGACACGGCCCCGACUCCUACGGGAGGCAGCAGCAGGAAUUUCCGCAAUGGGCGAAAGCCUGACGGAGCAACGCCGCGUGGGGGAGGACGCUUUUCGGAGUGUAAACCCCUUUUCUCAGGGAAGAUGAUGACGGUACCUGAGGAAGAAGGACCGGCUAACUACGUGCCAGCAGCCGC
rnacentral:rRNA from 1 species